UACGGAGGGUGCAAGCGUUGCUCGGAAUCACUGGGCGUAAAGCGACCGCAGGCGGCUUGUCAAGUCCGAUGUGAAAGCCCGGGGCUCAACCCCGGAAGUGCAUCGGAAACUGGCUCGCUUGAGUACGAGAGAGGAAAGCAGAAUUCCUGGUGUAGAGGUGAAAUUCGUAGAUAUCAGGAGGAAUACCCGCGGCGAAGGCG
rnacentral:rRNA from 1 species